rnacentral:rRNA from 2 species
GGUUAAGCGACUAAGCGUACACGGUGGAUGCCCUGGCAGUCAGAGGCGAUGAAGGGCGUGCUAAUCUGCGAUAAGCGCCGGUAAGGUGAUAUGAACCGUUAUAACCGGCGAUACCCGAAUGGGGAAACCCAGUGUGACUCGUCACACUAUCAUUAACUGAAUCCAUAGGUUAAUGAGGCGAACCGGGGGAACUGAAACAUCUAAGUACCCCGAGGAAAAGAAAUCAACCGAGAUUCCCCCAGUAGCGGCGAGCGAACGGGGAGGAGCCCAGAGCCUGAAUCAGCAUGUGUGUUAGUGGAAGCGUCUGGAAAGGCGCGCGAUACAGGGUGACAGCCCCGUACACAAAAGCGCAUGUGCUGUGAGCUCGAUGAGUAGGGCGGGACACGUGGUAUCCUGUCUGAAUAUGGGGGGACCAUCCUCCAAGGCUAAAUACUCCUGACUGACCGAUAGUGAACCAGUACCGUGAGGGAAAGGCGAAAAGAACCCCGGCGAGGGGAGUGAAAAAGAACCUGAAACCGUGUACGUACAAGCAGUGGGAGCACA